CUAGUUAACCGAUUAACAGCCAUUGACGUUUUUUAUUUGUCAACUAAAUAUCAACCGUCGGCUGCCAAUGACUGUGUGUGCGUGUGUGUGUGUGUGUGUACAGUCAUGACUUUGGUUUUCGC